CUCCAGAGUUUUUUGUUUAUACAAUGUUUCUGUUGUUAUAAUAGUUGCAUUCUCAAUCUUGCUAAUUUUAUUCUUUAUCAGUUUACAUAUUUUCCAAAGUUUCUUUAAAAUCUCCUCUUUCAACUAUUUUUGUAGUAAUAAAGAACUAAUGGGAUGACCUUCAUUUGGGAAAUGGCUGAACAAAUUGUGGUAUACAAAGUAAUCAAAUGCUAUCACACUAUAAUGAAUUCAUUGUAUUUCAAUAGUUCAGAAGAAAGUCUAUUAUUUUACACGAUGAAUUACUUUUUUCCUAUACAAAUGUAAGAAAUGGUACUAAGGUCUUAGGUCUACAAAACCUGACAUAAUCAAUAAUCAAAAUAACUAUCAUUGAUGUAAUGCUUUAAAGUUUGCAGAAUCUUUACAAUUUUUAUAUCAUUUUAUCCUUAUAAUACCUCUGAAAGGCAGGUGCUAUUAUUAUCAUCUUAAUUUUACAGAUAAGGAAUCUGAGGCAGAUGGAUAUUAAGGAACUUACCCAAGAUCAUACUUUAAGCGGUGUGAUAUCAUGGACAGAGAACUAGUCUUGGGGGUAGGAAGAUCUGAGUUCAAAUCCAGACUCUGACAUAUACUGACUGUGUGAUCUUAGGGACUUUUCCAAAAUGACUCCUUUGAUGAACAGUACAUCUUUGGCUAUUUCCAGCAAAGCAGUUUACCCUCUGAGGCCCUUGCUGUCAGCUCUGCGCUCAUACAUCCAUGCCCUGCUGUCGAGCUUGACAGCCUUCUAUUGUUCAUUCACUGCUUCCACCUCACCAGUUAAUGAGAAUAGAACAAAAGUACCUGACAGGAAAUUGAAAACCAAGAAUAAAGAACCCUUACAGGAGAAUAUAAGCUCAUUGGAGAAGAGAAUGUUUUAAUUUGGCAUUUUAAUCAUCAAUAUCUACAACAGGGCUUUGGAUAUAUAACAAGUGAAGAAUCUGAACCUUAGAGGGGAAAGUGACUUGCUUUAACAAUG
rnacentral:lncRNA from 1 species